CAGUCGCCACGGGAACACGAAGGGUGCAAGCGUUACUCUGAAUUACUGGGCGUAAAGCGUGCGUAGGUGGUGGUUUAAGUCCGUUGUGAAAGCCCUGGGCUCAACCUGGGAAUUGCAGUGGAUACUGGGUCACUAGAGUGUGGUAGAGGAUAGUGGAAUUUCCGGUGUAGCAGUGAAAUGCGUAGAGAUCGGAAGGAACAUCUGUGGCGAAGGCGACUAUCUGGGCCAACACUGACACUGAGGCACGAAAGCGUGGGGAGCAAACAGGAUUAGAUACCCCCGUAGUCCCUGUCUCUUUACA
rnacentral:rRNA from 1 species